UGCAAGUCGAACGAGAAUCUGUGGAAAGAGGAUUCGUCCAAUUGAAGCAGAGGACAGUGGCGGACGGGUGAGUAACGCGUGAGGAACCUGCCUUUCAGAGGGGGACAACAGUUGGAAACGACUGCUAAUACCGCAUAACAUAUAGAUGUCGCAUGGCAUUUAUAUCAAAGAUUUAUCGCUGAAAGAUGGCCUCGCGUCUGAUUAGCUAGUUGGUGAGGUAACGGCCCACCAAGGCGACGAUCAGUAGCCGGACUGAGAGGUUGAACGGCCACAUUGGGACUGAGAUACGGCCCAGACUCCUACGGGAGGCAGCAGUGGGGAAUAUUGGGCAAUGGGCGCAAGCCUGACCCAGCAACGCCGCGUGAAGGAAGAAGGCUUUCGGGUUGUAAACUUCUUUUGUCAGGGACGAGUAGAAGACGGUACCUGACGAAUAAGCCACGGCUAACUACGUGCCAGCAGCCGCGGUAAUACGUAGGUGGCAAGCGUUGUCCGGAUUUACUGGGUGUAAAGGGCGUGUAGCCGGGAGGGCAAGUCAGAUGUGAAAUCCACGGGCUCAACUCGUGAACUGCAUUUGAAACUACUCUUCUUGGGUAUCGGAGAGGCAAUCGGAAUUCCUAGUGUAGCGGUGAAAUGCGUAGA
rnacentral:rRNA from 1 species